GGGGUUGUGGCUCAGUGAUAGAGCACUUGCCUCGCACACAUGAGGCCCUGUGUUUGAUUCUCAGCACCACA
rnacentral:tRNA from 1 species